GUCUUCCCAUUGCUUACCAAGAAAUUUUCAUACGAAGAGCAGUCAGAUUUAGUAUGGCAGUUCUUAUGCAACAUUCCUGUAAAUAUGCUGGCAGAGUUCCUUCCGUGGCUCUCAGCUUCUGUUUCAUCUGACGAGCAUCAGGAUAUUCGUAACUGUUUAUGUAAAAUAGUUCCUGAAGAGAAACUUCUUAAACAGGUCUCACAAUUGCGCCUCUUUACUGUUUCUGGCAAUAACUUGCUUGUUGUCCUGUUAAAUUUGAGUUUUAAAAUUUGUGAAGGUUGUAUUCACUUGGAUCGAAGGGAAAGCAACAAGAGAAGUGGCACAGAGUGUUGUCAGUGA
rnacentral:rRNA from 1 species